GACGAACGCUGGCGGCGUGCCUAAUACAUGCAAGUCGAACGCAGUGGGGACGGGUGAGUAACACCUGGGUAACCUCCCCUCAGAGGGGAUAACACUUGGAAACAGGUGCUAAACCGAUACUGAUGGAUGGACCCGCGGUGCAUUAGCUAGUUGGUGGGGUAACGGCUCACCAAGGCCACGAUGCAUAGCCGACCGGGGAGGGUGACCGGCCAAAUGGGGACUGAGACACGGCCCAGACUCCUACGGGAGGAAGCAGUAGGGAAUCUUCGGCAAUGGACGAAAGUCGGACAGAGCAACGCCGCGUGAGUGAAGAAGGUUUUCGGAUCGUAAAACUCUGUUGUUAGAGAAGCGGUAUCUAACCAGAAAGCCACGGCUAACUACGUGCCAGCAGCCGCGGUAAUAC
rnacentral:rRNA from 1 species